rnacentral:rRNA from 1 species
AUUGAACGCUGGCGGCAUGCCUAACACAUGCAAGUCGAACGGCAGCACGGCAGUAGCAAUACUGUGGGUGGCGAGUGGCGGACGGGUGAGGAAUACGUCGGAAUCUGCCCAGUCGUGGGGGAUAACUAGCCGAAGGUUAGCUAAUACCGCAUACGACCGAGAGGUGAAAGCGGGGGACCGCAAGGCCUCGCGCGAUUGGAUGAGCCGACGUCGGAUUAGCUAGUUGGUGGGGUAAAGGCCCACCAAGGCGACGAUCCGUAGCUGGUCUGAGAGGAUGAUCAGCCACACUGGAACUGAGACACGGUCCAGACUCCUACGGGAGGCAGCAGUGGGGAAUAUUGGACAAUGGGCGCAAGCCUGAUCCAGCAAUGCCGCGUGUGUGAAG